GGAGCUCAAGGCCUGUACGUUUUCCAUCAAUCAGGAGUCAAGCAAUUACACACAAUCAAACGUCUCACCAAAGCACUUAUGGUUCCUGGAAAUCUCUUAAAAUUUUUGUAUGUUCGUUAACUUCUCUUUAGAGAGAUCUAGAUAUCCGUUACGUUGUUUUCUAUUUUCAACUACAGUCAGCUCCAAAUUGAAACACCAGUCAUAUCAUAAUACAACAACAACAAAAAACUAGUGAGAACAUAUAUCAAAAUGGAUACACCGAGCUAUAUGAAACUCAGAAGUCGUGUUGUUCCAUUGAGUCCAGUUAAAAAGACGAUUCGCAAACGCAGAAACAGCUUAGAUCUUAUUCCCAUGCAAGCAAAUAAAAAACUUAAAAUUAGUCUGGGAAGCUUGGAAAUGGAUUCAUCUGAAGCAAGUCGUUCGGAUGAUGAAAAUGAUGAGGGUGUGAUUUUCAUUUCCAAUUCACGCGAUCCCUUAGAAUAUAUUGACUUGACUGAGCAAUAUUAAAUGUUCCGGUUUUAUUUUUCGAUUUUAUGUUAUAAGAAAUUUGCUUUGCUUGUUCAAGUUAUUAUAUUUUUUUUUUAAUUAUGCUGUUAUAUACUUACAAACUAAGUGAACCAAUAUAGGAAGAACUUUGAUCCUUGUUGAGGUUAUGAGGAGCACAUCACGCGA